GGGUCAGCAAGUUGGUCGUGCCACUGGUAUGCACUGGCUUUGCUGAUUCCUCCUUCUUGUAGAACCGUAAUGCCAUUAAGUUGGUGUUGCGGGGAAACAGGACUGUUACUUUGAAAAAAUUAGAGUGUUUAAAGCAGGCUCACGCUUGAAUACAUUAGCAUGGAAUAAUGAAAUAGGACGUUUGAUUCUAUUUUGUUGGUUUCUAGGAUCGACGUA
rnacentral:rRNA from 1 species